CAGUCGCCGCGGGAACACGGAGGGGGCUAGCGUUGUUCGGAAUUACUGGGCGUAAAGCGCACGUAGGCGGCUUGGUAAGUUAGAGGUGAAAGCCUGGAGCUCAACUCCAGAAUUGCCUUUAAGACUGCCGAGCUAGCAGGUGAGAGAGGUAAGUGGAAUUCCGAGUGUAGAGGUGAAAUUCGUAGAUAUUCGGAAGAACACCAGUGGCGAAGGCGGCUUACUGGCUCAUACUGGACGCUGAGGUGCGAAAGCGUGGGGAGCAAACAGGAUUAGAGACCCCCGUAGUCCCUGUCUCUUAUAC
rnacentral:rRNA from 1 species